rnacentral:ncRNA from 19 species
AACGUCCUUCGGGGUUAGGUGUAAUUCCUUACCGGCGGUAAAGCCCGCGAGCCGUUAUGGCAGACCCGGUGAAAUUCCGGGGCCGACAGUAAAAGUCUGGAAGGGAGAAGGAGGUU